rnacentral:rRNA from 1 species
AGCGAACGUUAGCGGCGGGCUUAACACAUGCAAGUCGAGCGAGAAAGGGGCUUCGGCCCUGAGUAAAGCGGCGGACGGGUGAGUAACACGUAGGUAAUCUUCCCUUGAGCGGGGGACAACGAUUCGAAAGGAUCGCUAAUACCGCAUACGUUUCCAGAGACUCUGGUCUUUGGAAGGAAAGCUAGGCCGCAAGGUCCGGCACUCGAGGAGGAGCCUGCGUCGCAUCAGCUAGUUGGUGGGGAACGGCCUACCAAGGCGAAGACGCGUAGCUGGUCUGAGAGGAU